rnacentral:tRNA from 1 species
UCCCAGGUAGCUCAGUGGUAGAGCAGCCGGCUGUUAACCGGCUGGUCGGGGGUUCGAAUCCCUCCCUGGGAGCCA